rnacentral:rRNA from 1 species
CCUACGGGAGGCAGCAGUGAGGAAUAUUGGUCAAUGGGCGCGAGCCUGAACCAGCCAAGUAGCGUGAAGGAUGACUGCCCUACGGGUUGUAAACUUCUUUUAUAAAGGAAUAAAGUGAGGCACGUGUGCCUUUUUGUAUGUACUUUAUGAAUAAGGAUCGGCUAACUCCGUGCCAGCAGCCGCGGUAAUACGGAGGAUCCGAGCGUUAUCCGGAUUUAGUGGGUUUAAAGGGAGCGUAGGCGGUAUGUCAAGUCAAGGGUGAAAUCCCCGCGCUCAACGUGGGAACUGCCUUUGAAACUGGCCAACGGGAGUGUGUGAGAGGAUAGUGGAAUUCCAGGUGUAGGAGGGAAAUCCGGAGAUA